CCACUCAUGAAGAUGUCUGAAGCAGGCCUCCACAAGGCCAUCAAAGGGGGACUCUUUUAAUGAUCCUCGUCUUAUGUACGUGUUUGAAAGAAGCUAUUUUUGCAGUCCGUGGCGAGAAAAGCACCAGGAUGUCUCAGUAAAUGCCUGUAUUUCCAGCAGCUGUUGAUGGUAAUUCGGUCAUUGUAAUGUGAAAUAUUAGGAUGCAGACUUGUAACUUGGUUAGUUGUUAUCACAUCGAGUAGUUCUCGCCUAGUUUGUGAAGUUCACUCGUAUUUAAUAAUGAUUGAUGUCCCCAGAAGUUUUCCUAGUUGCACUCAUUUUUUCAGUCA